UGACUUGAGAAUGAAGUGAAGCGACCUCCCUCCACGAACACCUUGUCCCUUGUCCUCAGGCUCCACUCCCUCAUAUCUCUGCAGAGUUGCCCCUGCUGUUCCGUUUCCAGGCAGCCCUCCCUCUCCUGUCCCAGAGAACAGCGAGUGCCUCCUCCACAGCUCGGAAGUCCCACGGGGCAGUCUUUCUCCGCAUCCGCAGGAGGAGGUCUUGCCUGUGGCACUUGGCGCCCUCUCUGUGACUGUGUGUGUGUGUUCCGUCGCUGUCCUGCAAGGUCCUCACAGUGUCCCGGUGGAGGGCCCAGGGGUGACGUUGGUGAGUUUUUCUUCUUGCAAGAGGAGAGGCACUGUGGCAGUGAAGGGAAAGCAAUGGCUGGUCACGGACCACAUGCCUGGAGGUACCCCUCGCUCCCGGGCAUGCUCAGCUUGGCUCCGGCUCCAGAAGGUGUGUGGGCUUCAUCACGCAGGUGUUGCGGGGAAUGGAUGAGUCCGCUGGUGGGAAGCGCUCUGUAAGAUGGAAGCUUUGGAAGCUCCCCCACCAGACCCAUUUCUGGAUCCAUGGACCUCUUCCACCCGGGGGUGCUGGUUGAGAAUCCAGAGAAGGAGGCCCCGAGCCCUCACUGCACACGGAUGGCCUUCCUCCUCCUCUGGGUGCUCCAUCCCUGUGGGAGGCAGCCAGGACCAGGACUCAGGCCCUCCUUAGGAUGCCUACACUGUGGGCUUUGGGGCCAGGCGCCUAGCCAGGGGCUGUGCAGGAAGCAGAGGGCGUUUCUCCAGAAGAUUGACGCGUAACAGACAGAGGCUGCCAGUGGCCCACCGGUUCCCACCCCCUCUCCUCCUUAGCAACAGAAACCUGGGCAGCUGGAUGAAGCCAAAGGACUAAGAUCUGGCCAGUGAGAUGUGAGCAGAAGUUGCUAGCAUGAUGGGCAGAAACGAAGAAGGAGCUUGGGUGCCUGACGAGGGAGUCGCCACCAUUCCCACCCUGGACGGCCAACCUCUAAACUUCUUUCCUGGCAGAACAACCCCUUGUGACACGAGUUUGAGACUCUGUGGUCGUCUCUGAAGUUGUCAGCUUAGACUGCUAUAAGGAAAUAUUCCAGACUGGGUGGUUUAGACAAUAGAUCUUUGUUUCUCACAGUUCUGGAAGGUGGGAAGUCCAAGAUCGAGGUGCUAGCAGAUUUGCUUCUUGGUGAGGGCUCUCUUCCUGGUUUGCAGAGGCUACCUUCUCAAGUGUCCUCACAUGGUGGAGGGAAAAGGAGAGGGGAAGAGAGAGAGCGGGAACUCGGAUCUCUCUUUCUCUUCUUAUGAGGGCACUAAUCCUCUUCACGUCCUACUCAGCUCCCAAAGGCCCCGCCUCCAAAUCCUUUCACACUGGGGGUUGAAGUCUCAACAUGUGAAUUUUGGGGGGACACAAAUCUUCAGCCCAUAACAGCCCACAGCCAAACCCAAUUGUAAUGGGUACUCACCCUUUAUUAUCCCUCAUCUGAAACAACGAUCACAACGGAUCCUUCCCAGAACUCCGUGUGCUCUCCAUUCACUGCCCUGUCUCUCUCUCCCAUUUCUUUCUCAAAUGUCCUAUAAAUUGAAAGGACUCAUGGCCUCCACCUGCACACCUUCCACGUGCUCCUGGUCCAAGCUGGCAUUGACCUCCACCCGAGGACUCAUGCCUGAACGUGAGCAUCCUCUGUGAUCCAACCCUCUCUCUCACCUCCUCCAUCCAAUCCGCCACCAAGUCCCACGGUCCAGCUUCCAGAACAUUCCUCGCAUCUAUCUGCUUCUCUCCAUCUCCAUGACCACUGCCUGCAUCUCACACUUGGCCUUCAGGAAGUGCUUCUCUCAGGUUCUGGUGUCCACUCUUUUCUCACUACCCUGCAGAACAAAUCAGCUAUUCACUCAUGAACAGGUCAUGCCCCUCCCCUGCUUAGAACCCCUCACAGCCUCCCAUCGCUCUCAGAAAUAUGGCCUACAGGCUGCUGCGUGGGUGCCCGCCAUGAACUCAGCAGCUGCAUCUCCCCUCCCUCUCUGCAAGGCAGAGCCCACGUCAGGCUCUUCCUGUUCCUCCAGCGCCCCACACUCAGCCUCAGGCUGUCCACAUGACCACGGGCUCUGCUGAAGUGCCCUGGCCCCCACUUUCCUCCUGCCUAGCCCCUGCUCCUUCUACGUCCCAACUUAGAUGUCACUUGUCAGGCAGCCUGCCUACAACCUCAUUCCAGUAGGUAAGAUUCUGCCUAUUACAUGUCAAUAGCAUCCCAUGGAAUUGUGAUCAAUUCACCAGGUGUGUGAUUUUCUGAUUAAUAUCCACCUACCCCACCAGGUGUGAGCUUCCUUGGGUGGGGACAAUGCCUAGACAAGGCCUGGCACACAGCAGGUGCUUAGCAAGUGCUUGCUGAAUGCAUGAAAGCAUUCUUAAAUAUAGGAAAAUUGAGGGUCAGAGAGAGGAAGGACCAGCCUGAGGUCCCAGAGUCCACGCCCAGCACAGCUGUGAUUGGGAUCCAGGUCUCCUGGACCCAAGGCAGCCACUCUUGGUGAGUCAUCCACAUCCCUGAGAGCAGGAAGAGGAGAGGGUGGAUGGGGGAUCCAAAGGACUCCGUCUCUGAUUGGAGGUGAGGCCAGCAGGGGAGAGAAGAGGCGAGAAACCCAGGCUCCUGGCUCAGGAUUUGGGUGGAGAGGGCACUGGAGGUGUGAGGCUUGGGUAAGGGUAAGGUGGUCCUGGCGGGAGCUGUGGGCUAACACAAGACACCCACAGGUGGCUGGAUACACAAGGACAGGGUCUGCGGGCAGGGAUGAUUGGGGCUGGCAGCCAGGAGGAGGGGGCUGAGCUGCUGUGAGGAGAAGCGUCAGGGAACAUGCAAAGACUUGAGGCUCUGAAACUGUGACCACCGCCUCUGCGGGGCUGGCAUUGCUGCCAGGCCGUGUCUCAACACUUUUUCGACUCCUGAAAACUUAAAGGGAGAAAUAUCCAGUUCUCUUCAAGCAGACAGCUAAGCCGAAAAGUCAGGUGGGGACUGCAGCACCAGCAGAAAACAGCUCUCAGGGAGAAUUCUCUUACUUCUGGUCAAGCCUACUCAGAUUGUAAGUUCACCCUUUUAAGCCUCUGAAGGACCUGAGCCCAGAUUAGGUCAAAGGACGUAUUGCGGGCCCUGUCUGUGUGAAGCUCUCUAAUUACACAUUUACAGAAUAAUCCAAAUGUUUUCAAGUUUGACUGACGUUCAACCUUGCAGGUCAUUGCACACAGGGCAUCCACUUGCAUCUAUAGAAUCCCACAGAAACACUCUUUCCCAAGCUUUUGGGACUGGUAUUGGUUUAGUUCAACCAAAAGUUGAUUAAAGUGAAAAAUUAUUUUUAAAAAUUCAAACAUAGCUUAAAAUUUUUAUUUUUAACUUAAAUCAUACAGAGGUACCCUCUCCAGUCGACUUGGACGCAGGGGCAGAGCCUUCUCUGGGCACGGGUCAUGUGGCAUGAGUGAGGAUCACUUCCUUGCAUCAGCAGCACCCCUGUGGCUCCUACUUCCUGCUUUUUUCGAGUCUAAGGAGAGCUGGAGCCAUGCGUGAAAUCAGCCGAGGGCAAGCUCCGCAUAGAUUUUCAUCAUUUUUUCUGUGGCUCUCUUACAGAUGUCUUUCCCAUGUAUGCUACUUAUCUAUUGCUGGGUAACAAAUUAUUUCAGCACUUAGUACCUUGAAGCAACAAUAGUCUUUCACUGUCCCUGCUGGGGUCUGUGGCCAGAAAUUCGGGAGCCACUGGACCGUACAGGCCUGCGCAGGGUUCCUCGAGAGGCUGCAGCUCGAUGGCGCCCGUGCUGCCCUCAAGCAAAGGGUUGCUGGGGCUGUAGGAGCCGCUUCCACAUGGAUCUGCUCCCUCGCAUGGCUGGCGCUGGGAGGGGACCACACAGAGGUGUGCUACCAAGAGGCGCCGUUGUGGGACAGGCUACUGUGCCAAGCUUGAUUCAACAGCGAUAUUUUUAAAGCAACUCAUCUUUAGUGAACCUUUUUCAAAGCAUUUAAUUUAGCGUUCAUAGAAACAGCUCUCUUUGAAUCCAUAUUUUAUCAUUUUGUGUAUAUUUAAUUACACAGCAUCAUUAUAACAAGCAGAACUAACAUAAAUGGAUUUGGGAACAUGACCGACUGACAGGUGGGCAGGUACAACCAGCCGUAGCAGCCCAAUGACGUGGGCGUACCAGGGAGACGCUGCGGCCUGGACGGGGAAGCACUCGUGGGCAUCAUCAGGGGCUUCGGGGCGUCAGUGAAAUGGAGCCUCAUAUCCCCUCAUUUUACCCUAAUUACCUCGUUAAGGCCCCAUCUCCAAACACAGUCAUGUUCCAAGGUCCUGGGGGCGAGGACUUCACUGCAUGAAUUUGGAGGGGACACAAUUUAACACUAACAGGGAGGGAAGGGCAUCCACUCCAAACUGGGAGAUCCAAGAGGGCUUCCGGAGCAGACAUCGCCUCAGUUGGGUCAUGACAGAUGCAUAGGAGUUUUCCUGGAAACAAGGUGAUGAGGUGGGGAGAUCGAAACAGCACGUAAAACAUUGCCCACUUUAAACCACUUUGCUUCCUUAAAACAGAUAAUUGAGUAAUCAAACUUUGCUCAACAGCAGAGACGGCACUGCACAGGUACCAGGCGGGAACCCAUGGCCCCAGGAUGACCUUGGCCUUCAAUUAGGAAAAUCCGGCUCCAGCAGCCCAAGUAGCUUGAUUACCAUAUAUGGACUAAUUUGAGACUGGCUCACACGGGCCCAGCUGCAGCUCAGCCCCUAACUCCUUAAAUUUUACCCCAAACCUUGGAUUGGGGAGACAGUUUGGGAGCUUUGCCUCCUGUCUCCCUGCCGGUUGACCUCGCAAUAAAGCUC
ensembl:lncRNA